UACGUAGGGCGCAAGCGUUGUCCGGAAUUAUUGGGCGUAAAGAGCUCGUAGGCGGUCUGUCGCGUCUGCCGUGAAAACCCGAGGCUUAACCUCGGGCUGGCGGUGGAUACGGGCAGACUAGAGGUAGGUAGGGGAGAAUGGAAUUCCCGGUGUAGCGGUGAAAUGCGCAGAUAUCGGGAGGAACACCGGUGGCGAAGGCGGUUCUCUGGGCCUUACCUGACGCUGAGGAGCGAAAGCAUGGGGAGC
rnacentral:rRNA from 1 species